rnacentral:rRNA from 1 species
UGGGGAAUAUUGGACAAUGGGCGAAAGCCUGAUCCAGCCAUGCCGCGUGUGUGAAGAAGGUCUUUUGGUUGUAAAGCACUUUAAGUGGGGAGGAAAAGCUUAUGGUUAAUACCCAUAAGCCCUGACGUUACCCACAGAAUAAGCACCGGCUAACUCUGUGCCAGCAGCCGCGGUAAUACAGAGGGUGCAAGCGUUAAUCGGAAUUACUGGGCGUAAAGCGCGCGUAGGUGGUUAUUUAAGUCAGAUGUGAAAGCCCCGGGCUUAACCUGGGAACUGCAUCUGAUACUGGAUAACUAGAGUAGGUGAGAGGGGAGUAGAAUUCCAGGUGUAGCGGUGAAAUGCGUAGAGAUCUGGAGGAAUACCGAUGGCGAAGGCAGCUCCCUGGCAUCAUACUGACACUGAGGUGCGAAAGCGUGGGUAGCAAACAGGAUUAGAUACCCUGGUAGUCCACGCCGUAAACGAUGUCUACCAGUCGUUGGGUCUUUUAAAGACUUAGUGGCGCAGCUAACGCAUUAAGUUAUCCGCCUGGGGAGUACGGUCGCAAGAUUA